UGGCGCACGGGUGAGUAACGCGUACAGAACCUGCCUACGAGCGGGGAAUAGCCCCGGCGAAACUGGAGAUUAAUGCCCCAUUGGACCAUAAUGCCGUCUGGCAUACUGGUUCAAGCGUCGGCGCUCGUAGAUGGCUGUGCGUGCCAUAUGCUAUUUGGUGGUGUGACGGACCACCAAAGGUACGAGCGCUACAGGGGCGUGAAGAGCGUGGCCCCCCAGACAGGUUCUGCGACCCGGACCCAACUCCUACGGGGAGGCGGCCUCCUGGAGUAUGGGACAAUGGGGGCUACCCUGAUCCGGCCGUCCCGCUUGCACGAUGACGGCCCUUCAGUUUGUAAAGUGCUUUUGCCAUGGAAGACACGAGCCCGCUUGUGGGUCAUCGACGGUACCUCACACAAUAGGCACCGGGUAACUCCGUGCCGACAGCCGGGGCUAAUACCGAGGGUGCAAGCGUUGUCCGGAAUCACUGGGUAUCGUGGGUGCGUAUGCGGGAUGGUAAGUCACGCGUGAGCGGCCGUCGCUUUCCGAUGUAACUGCCUUUGAUUCUGUCCUGCUUGAGUCUAUUAAACGCCGACAGAAUGUGGCAUGUAACGGUGACGUGCUUAGAUGUGCCAUAGAACACCGAUUGCGAAUGCGGCUGGCUAGGCUUAGAUAGAGGCUGAGGCACGACCGCGUGUGGAGCGAACGGGCUAAGGUACCCUGGUAGUCCACGCCCUACACGAUGUGAACUCGGCUGUGGCCGAGGAGACCAGGGCCCAAACGAAAGCGGUAAGUAAACCACCUGGGGAGUAAGUCGGCGACGAUGAAACUCAAAGGAACAGACGGGGGUCCGCACAAGCGAUGGAGCAUCUGGUUUAAGUAGAUGACACGCGAGGAACAUUACGUAGGCUAGAAUGCGAGCGCCACCCGCCGAAAGCAGGGAUUCCGUCGGCACGCGAAGCAAGGUGCUGCAUGGCUGUCGUCAGCUCAUGCCGUGAGAUGUUGGGUUAAGUCCCCCAACCGAGCGCAACCCCUAUUUCCAGUUGCCAGCAAUAAGAUGGGGACUCUGGAAAGACUGCCGGCGCAAGCAGCGAGGAAGGUGGGGACGACGUCAAGUCAUCAUGGCCUUUAUGCAUAGGGCUACACACGUGCUAC
rnacentral:rRNA from 1 species